CAUUGUUAGGUGUGCCGUGGGAAAUGAUCCAAUUUCACCUAAUUGGUCUAAAAAAGAGUGAAUAGAAAUUUUCUUUGUGUUCAUUUGAUUCCUAUUCAAGACAUUUUGACAAGAAUGACUUGAUAUCGUUAAUACGGGCUACAGAGGUUUAUUUAAUUUCAUUUUCAAUAAAAUUUCAUUUUAUUUAAAAUUUUCGGCUGGUGGUGUGCCUCAGGAUUUUUUAAAUGAAAAAAGUGUGCCUUGGCUCAAAAAGGUUGAAAAACACUGCUCUAGAUAACCCUGGGCCGCUCGCGCGCCCUCAGUGGUGACGAUUUGUCUUUCGAAUAUCUGCCCUAUCAACUUUCAAUGGUCCUUUUGGCGCCUACCAUGUUGACCACGGGUAACAAGGAAUCAGGGUUCGAUUCCGGACAGGGAGCCUGAGAAAUGGCUAUCACAUCCAAGGAAGGCAGCAGGCGCGCAAAUUACCCAUUUCCGACACAAUGACGUAGUGACGAAAAAUAACAAUACAGGUCUCUUUCGAGACCCUGUAAUUGGAAGGAGCGUAUCCUAAACCCAUGGGUGAGGACCCAUUGGAGGGCAAGUCUGGAGCCAGCAGCCGUGGUAAUUCCAGCUCCAAUAGCGUAUAUUAAAGUUGCUGCAGUUAAAAGCAAUUCCUCUGCCCGCAAUGCGAAGUCUAACAGUAGUGUGAAGGUUCGUUGCGGUGAUUGCUAAUAAUACAGCACCAGAAGGAGGAAUGGGUCCUUGUAACGGUUUUGCCUCGUAUGCCUGAGUGGCCCAAGAAACAGGGCUUGGUAGGUGUGCCCAGAGGUGCUAUCCCUUCAAAUAUAAGCCUCAAUAUUGGUCUGAGCAAAGUGGAGAAAAAUGGUGUCCACCACCAUAUAGCACCUGUAGACGGUGUUUAUGGGCUGCGUAGGGAAGUCCUGUGGUCCAGGUAGGCUGU
rnacentral:rRNA from 1 species